GAUGAACGCUGGCGGCGUGCCUAAUACAUGCAAGUCGAGCGAACAGACGAGGAGCUUGCUCCUCUGACGUUAGCGGCGGACGGGUGAGUAACACGUGGAUAACCUACCUAUAAGACUGGGAUAACUUCGGGAAACCGGAGCUAAUACCGGAUAAUAUAUUGAACCGCAUGGUUCAAUAGUGAAAGACGGUUUUGCUGUCACUUAUAGAUGGAUCCGCGCCGCAUUAGCUAGUUGGUAAGGUAACGGCUUACCAAGGCAACGAUGCGUAGCCGACCUGAGAGGGUGAUCGGCCACACUGGAACUGAGACACGGUCCAGACUCCUACGGGAGGCAGCAGUAGGGAAUCUUCCGCAAUGGGCGAAAGCCUGACGGAGCAACGCCGCGUGAGUGAUGAAGGGCUUCGGAUCGUAAAACGCUGUUAUUAGGGAAGAACAAAUGUGUAAGUAACGAUGCACGUCUGGACGGUACCUAAUCAGAAAGCCACGGCUAACUACGU
rnacentral:rRNA from 1 species